CCAGAAUGUAGCAACAAAACUCUUAUUAUGUUUUGCUUAACAGCAGCCACUUUGGCCAAAUACUAACAUGUAGUAAAAGUCAAGUAUACAACCGACUUGAUGAAUGUCAGUAACACAGCGGUAUCUAUCUAAAGUUUGCUACCGUUAGCUAACAUUAGCUACUGGUCAUACCAAGGCUGUAGCAAGGGUGUUUUGUAAUGUAUUAUUUCUUUCAAAAGUUACAUAGUCUUUCUUGUUUUCAUCUUAAGAAACUGAAGUUGGUCUUUGAUGCGUCGUCGUUCACUUAGCCAACUCCAACUGGCUCACAACCCCUUUAGUGUGCAGUAGAUUGUAAAAUGUUAAACCAUGUCUGAAUGUAUCGCUGAGCUGGUGGAAACACCACAAAAACAUUACAAACAUUAAUGUGGAAAUGGUUUUGACAGAGUUGAAUAAUAUUGGAGCUGUACCACGCUGAGUUGUGGUAUUUAUUUAUCUACAGAGUUGAAUGUGUAUAUUGUGUACAUAGAAAGAAUUUAACGAAAAACAAUCUAUUGAAAAUACAUAUAGAUUUUACCUACAUUGCAAUGAUAUUCCUGUGUAAAGACUUUGGCUACUAAUUUUUAAAAAGGGGAUAGGGUUUUUGCUUUGGGUAACUGUAUGCUUUUCUCCCUCGCAGUCCCUGUGACUAUAUGAAAAAAAUACUCUGUCUAUUUUAUUAUUGAGAUCUCUUUGCCUUGUUGACACACUUUACCUAAUUGCAUAUGCAAUAGUGAAUACAAUCUAGUUUAAAACCGUGGAACCAAAUGUGACAUUGCAUUGAUUGAUUGAUUUUCUUUUUGUGGCAAGCAGAAGCUUUUUUUGCUCCUUGUACAUUUCUCUUUCUGCCAAGUGUUUUGUUUUUGUCUCUGGGAACUUUGUUCUUGACAUGUCUCAAAGCGCUUUCCCCAUUUCUGUGUCCAUGGACAGACUUUUCUUUUACAGAUUGAUCUUGGAUUGACUCGGUCUGAAUGUGUUGUUGUCUUCCAUUGUACAUAGUUCAAUAUACUGUUUAUUGUAAUGCUCACAAGAGAUGAUUAUAAUGAUUUAUAAAUUGGUAGUUGAGUAUUGCUUUUGUCUGUAUUGAUUAUGGAUAGCAACCUACAGAAAUAAAUGAUUUAUUUAAAGAGGUA